GCUUAAUAGAGUAGUUCUUCAAAUUUCUGAUUGCACUAAUCAACAAAGAAGUACCACACGCGAUUUUACGUUUCCCAUCCAGUCACAUUUUAUCAUCCAUGAGUUUAAUCAUGUAAACACGGACUGACAUCAAUUAUUACUGCGUGGGCUAUCUUUAUAUAUAACUCACAUGAACACCACCUAUAGUCGGACGUUAGAAAUGCAUUUAGCGUAAUAUUGUAAUCACUAUUUCAGUGAAAUUUAAUGUCCAUUCAACAUAGAAAGUAUAGAGAGAACAGUUGUUCAACCAUCGUGGACAGCCCUGUUUCUACUUUACUCUGCGAACGUUAGAAAGUGUUAUGCAAGAAAUGUAAGACUGUCCUAUAAUCAUGUAAGGAGUAAUCGCUCCUCUCAAACAGGUACUCCUUAUCUUAUAAGUCCCCCUCUCACCACCUUUUGAAGCGUUAAACGACCAUUCGUUAAUUAGAUCAUUUACGGUACAUAAUGCAGAUCGUGAAUUUUUAAACUAGUAACACUGUACUCACCAGCCGGCAAAUCCUCCUGAUGAAAACCAACGGUUCUUAUAUUUUGCAUUACACAACGUCAUUAAAAUUAAUUACAUUUUUAUUAGUUUUAAAGUUAGCUAACUAGAUAUCGCCAUGUCAUUUACAAACAUAAGAAUCUUUAUUACUUGUAUAGGGCAUCACUUCGAAAAUUACGCUUGUAGUGAAUGUGUUUUAAGGAUUUGUAGUAACUUUUGUAGCGCAUGAUUCGCAUGAGUAUGUAGUGAGUUGCAUGCUAUGAUUUGUAAUGAAUGGCUGGUUUAUAUAGUGGCAAUGCUAGUGGAGACUUGCGUAAGGCUUGUAGAGACGUACAUAAUAAUAUGACUGUAGUGACUUUGUAAGGCUCCAUGUAGCUUUGCAGUCGCUUGGAAGUGUUUUCAGAGAGGUCUUCUGAAAAGCUGCAAUAUGGCUCGCUUGUAAAAGUCAAGUUUAAAGUUGUUUGGGUUAGAAAAUAAAUAGACAAUGCAUUAAAUUCUUUUGUACAAUUAUUGUGUUAAUCUAGUUCGAGAAACCAGGAGCACAUUAAGCAAUCUUUCCAGAACUUUUCUACCACUUCAAUUAACAUUCACUUAAUUCUAAACACAACCGUUCUUGGGUUUACAUGGCUUGUACUGUAACAAGGCUUCAUUUUCUGUUCCGGAACAUUUGCUAGUAUGUUCUGAAAAGAUGUGUAAUGGACCACCGACUCUGUUCUGAAACAGCGACGGCAAGUAUACAGUGCAAUAAGUACAUCGUCGAAAUACCUGUUUGUUUAGUCAGAGCAAUAUUUAAAAUAUUUUCCCGUCAUUUCCUCUCUUUUGUUCUGGCUGCCACGUUCAUGUACCGCAAGUUCAUGAUUAUAAUGCCGUGUUGUAACGAGUCGAAUCAUUGACUCGCAAUUUUCUGCGACUCGAGUUGAACACGAAACGUGACUCGACUCGAGUCAACAGCCCAAAAUGAGUCGACUCGGACUCGACUUGUUGAUUUCUGCCGUAAAUGACACGAG
rnacentral:lncRNA from 1 species